rnacentral:ribozyme from 1 species
CGUCCGUCCUGGCGCAGACCUCUACGUGGUCCCCGGGACGAGUACCCGACCGCCACAGCCGCUGGCUGUGGCGGGCGGCGAAACAAGCAUGCGC